GGUGUUUAUCUCCCAGAGCAUCCAUCUCUGUGGCUCAGACCGAUGCAAUGACCAGACGGAACCAGAGCCUGCCAACACCAUGACGAACGGAUUGCAAUGUUUCGGAUGCUACAACUCAUCCACGGAGUCCUGCCUGGCCAAUCAACAGCGUGUGGAGUGUGUGGGCCCACAGAAUCGCUGUGUGAAUGGAAAAGGCCAACAGAGAUUGUUGCCAAUUGGCCGAGAUGUGGUUUUGAAAGGGUGUGUUACUACGAAUC